GAUGAACGCUGGCGGCGUGCCUAAUACAUGCAAGUCGAGCGAACAGACGAGGAGCUUGCUCCUCUGACGUUAGCGGCGGACGGGUGAGUAAUACGUGGAUAACCUACCUAUAAGACUGGGAUAACUUCGGGAAACCGGAGCUAAUACCGGAUAAUAUAUUGAACCGCAUGGUUCAAUAGUGAAAGACGGUUUUGCUGUCACUUAUAGAUGGAUCCGCGCCGCAUUAGCUAGUUGGUAAGGUAACGGCUUACCAAGGCAACGAUGCGUAGCCGACCUGAGAGGGUGAUCGGCCACACUGGAACUGAGACACGGUCCAGAUUCCUACGGGAGGCAGCAGUAGGGAAUCUUCCGCAAUGGGCGAAAGCCUGACGGAGCAACGCCGCGUGAGUGAUGAAGGUCUUCGGAUCGUAGAACUCUGUUAUUAGGGAAGAACAAAUGUGUAAGUAACUAUGCACGUCUUGACGGUACCUAAUCAGAAAGCCACGGCUAACUACGUG
rnacentral:rRNA from 1 species